rnacentral:misc_RNA from 1 species
AGAGUCGAACUAAAACAGUAAAAUAAUUUCAGUUCGGUUCAUACAACGACUCCUUUUCGAUUUCGGUUUGCCUCAAUUCAAUUCUUUGAUUUGAUUUGAAUCCCCUAGGAACCGUGUAUAGCCAUAACGAAAACACAACUCAUUAUCAAACAACAUUCUCGGCAGGACAAUAGCGCACCCUAUAACAUGUAUCCGACUUAUGAACUUCCUAUGCCCUAAUCGAACACCUUGUCUUUGUUUGAACACCUCAUGCCUUAUUCAAACACCUCAUGCUUUGCUUGAACACCGUGUUUUAUCCGACACCUUACUUAGAUAUCCUUAAUGACGAAAAUGAAUGACAUGCUUCUCAAUAAUCUAAAAUGAUGUGUAUUCUUUUUGGCAUUUGAUGCACUUUUAUCGAUCGAUCUGAAUUUUGAGAGCCCCCAAAACUCGUAUAUAUAAAUGCUUUCUAAAUGAUAAUAGUCAUCUUUCCACUUCGUGCAAUCAUCGUACUGCGACUCUGCUGUUUUUCUUCCACAAAUACUCCCUACUCCGGUGAUCGUCCGACGAUAAAAAACAAGUAAAUCCCCACUUUCUUUACGCUAUUCAUCGUUUGUCUACUUUCUUUUUCUAUCAAAAUGAGUGGGAAAGAGAUAAGAGAAACCUCAAAAGCUUCCUCCGUCGAUUACUGUAACUCCGAUGAGUCUGUAGGGGUAAUGGUCACCAAAAAUCGACUGUCGGCAACUGAAAAAGAGUAAGCUGGGCCUAGUAAUGAAGGUGGCAAUGCCGUUGGUAUCAGCUAUGAAGGUGGCGCGGCACGUACCACAGUAGCUUCAAAGAAAAAUCCAAAAAGAAUUGCUUAGCAUAGACAAGAUUGCCUUUGAAAUCAAACCAAUCGUACUGCCCACACUCAUGACCA